rnacentral:rRNA from 1 species
AAGGCGGGAGCGACUUAGCGGCGGGACGGGUGAGUAACGCGUCGGGUAACCUGCCCCAUACCGGGGGAUAACGGUUAGAAAUGACCGCUAAUACCGCUUAAGCGCACGAGGCCGCAUGGCCGCGCGCGAAAAACUCCGGUGGUAUGGGAUGGGCCCGCGUCUGAUUAGCUAGUUGGCGGGGUAAAGGCCCACCAAGGCGACGAUCAGUAGCCGACCUGAGAGGGUGGCCGGCCACAUUGGGACUGAGACACGGCCCAAACUCCUACGGAAGGCAGCAG